rnacentral:rRNA from 1 species
GAUGAACGCUAGCGGCAGGCUUAAUACAUGCAAGUCGAACGGCAGCGGGUCCAGCAAUGGAUGCCGGCGAGUGGCGCACGGGUGCGUAACACGUAUGCAACCUACCUUUAACCGGGACAUAACCUCGAGAAAUCGUGGCUAAUAUUCCAUAAUAUCUUUGAAUCGCAUGGUUUGAAGAUCAAAAUUCCGAUGGUUUUAGAUGGGCAUGGGCGACAUUAGCUAGUUGGUGAGGUAAUGGCUCACCAAGGCUACGAUGUUUAGGGGGUCUGAGAGGAUGAUCCCCCACACUGGUACUGAGACACGGACCAGACUCCUACGGGAGGCAGCAGUAAGGAAUAUUGGGCAAUGGGCGCAAGCCUGACCCAGCCAUGCCGCGUGCAGGAUGACAGCCCUACGGGUUGUAAACUGCUUUUAUACGGGAAAAAACCCUCUGACGUGUCAGAGGCUGAUGGUACCGUAAGAAUAAGCAUCGGCUAACUCCGUGCCAGCAGCCGCAGUAAAAC